rnacentral:rRNA from 1 species
CCUACGGGCGGCUGCAGUGAGGAAUAUUGGUCAAUGGACGAGAGUCUGAACCAGCCAAGUAGCGUGAAGGAUGACUGCCCUAUGGGUUGUAAACUUCUUUUAUAUGGGAAUAAAAUGUUCCACGUGUGGGAUUUUGUAUGUACCAUAUGAAUAAAGCUCGGCUAACUCCGUGCCAGCAGCCGCGGUAAUACGGAGGAUCCGAGCGUUAUCCGGAUUUAUUGGGUUUAACGGGAGCGUAGGUGGAUUGUUAAGUCAGUUGUGAAAGUUUGCGGCUCAACCGUAAAAUUGCAGUUGAAACUGGUAGUCUUGAGUAUAGUAGAGGUGGGCGGAAUUCGUGGUGUAGCGGUGAAAUGCUUAGAGAUCAAGAAGAACUCUGAUUGCGAAGGCAGCCCACUGGACUGCAACUGACACUGAGGCGCGAAAGCGUGGGGAGCAAACAGGAUUAGAUACCCCGGUAGUC